GUUGAUGUUUUAUUUUUAUUAAUAGUAAAGACAAACUUGGUAAGUUUAAUGAUAAAUCUGAUGAAGGUAUUUUUCUUGGUUAUUCUUCAUCUAGCAAAAUUUAUUGAGUAUUUGAUGGAAUUCUAAUUGUACAAGAGUUAAUUCAUAUUAUAUUUGAUGAGAGUAAUAUUUUUAAAUUAAAAAAAGUAGAAGUAGAUGAUGAUGGUGC
rnacentral:lncRNA from 1 species